AGCUUUAGAAGUUAAACCCGAUGCUCGUUGCCCUCCUGAGAGAACUUGGAAGGCCUCUCCUUCUGUCCGUUGGCUGCUUCUAAUUAAACCACAAAACCCUGUGCUCCUUUGGUAAGCAUAGCUACCCCAUAUUCUACUUCUUUUCCGUUGUUUGCUUUUCCUUUUUUCAGAUGAUUUUGUAAUAGAAAUUCUACGCAGUAUCUACGCAAACCUGAUCAGUAACAGCCAAAAAGGGGGGAAAAAACAAAAGUUAGAUGAAAAUAGAUAGACCCAGUUGGAAAAAAAGAAAGAUGGUUGUGAUUUUCAAUGAUAUAUAUGCAGUUUUUAAUUGGGUUCGAUCCUUUUGUUAUCAAUAUUGUAGAUCUGGGUAUUUUUUUUGUUUUUGUUAUUUUGUUGGUACUUGUAUCUGCCUUUGCAAAACAAUAAGCUUUUAUGCGCUUAGAGGUUGCUAAUUUUACUGGUUGUCUUACUUGUUCAAGUUUGAAUUUGUUUAUCUUACUUUUAUAUGUUGAAGAACGUGGGGUUUUCGAUAGGAGCAAUUGUCUAGCUUGAACCUGAGCAUUGUGUAUAGAUUCAGCAGCAUUGAUAUUGAAAAGGGUUUUUAUAAUGUUUUGAUGCCAAUGAGACUUUGUGAAGUGAGAGAACUAAGCUCGUUAUAAAGCAGAUUAUUUGAGUGAUUCAGGAUAUAAAUAAUGUUCGGAAGGGCGGGUCUUGAUAGAUUCAAGAAAGCUCAAACCUUGGAACCUUUCUCAGUGUCCACCAAUUCGGCUUCCAAAUCUGCUUCCCAGUCUUCCCCUAAACCAGUUACCCAGCCUUCGGUUUUGCAUUCACAGUCCAAGAAUUCCAUCUUGCAAACCCAAUACCAACACCAAGUCCGUGUUGCUCAGAAGCCGGAAGUGCCUGAGGCAGCGCCGCUUGUGGGUCAGGCUCAGCAGGUGACUCAGGUUGGAGGGGGUCAGUCAACUUGGCAACCACCUGAUUGGGCAAUUGAGCCUCGCUCUGGUGUUUACUAUCUUGAGGUUUUGAAGGAUGGUGAGGUUCUAGAUCGCAUAAAUCUUGAUAGGCGGAGACAAAUCUUUGGGAGGCAAUUCCAAACAUGUGAUUAUGUUCUUGACCAUCAGUCGGUAUCACGCCAGCAUGCUGCAGUCAUUCCUCACAAGAAUGGAAGCAUAUAUGUAAUUGAUUUGGGGUCUGCACAUGGUACUUUUGUUGCAAAUGAACGGUUGACGAAGGAUACCCCUGUUGAGCUUGAAGUGGGGCAGUCUCUACGAUUUGCUGCAUCAACUAGAACCUAUAUCUUGAGAAAGAACAGUGCAGCACUUUUCCCUCGCCCUCCACUGCCCAGUGAGAUUAAUUUACCACCACCUCCUGACCCAUCUGAUGAAGAAGCUCUUGUGGCCUAUAAUACACUUUUAAAUCGUUAUGGCAUAAGCAAGACUGAUGAAUUGGCUAAAUCCCACGAGUCUGGUAGCUCAAUAGGUGGAACAAUUGACAGCCAGCAGUUAGAGAGAGCCACCAAGAGAAUUAGGAAGGCAAGAGUGGCCUUCAGGGAUCAGGUUGGGGGUGAACUUGUAGAAGUUGUUGGGGUUUCGGAUGGUGCUGAUGUGGAAACAGAGCCUGGUCCAGUAGGUGUGAAAGAAGGAAGUCUUGUUGGAAAAUACGAAUCUCUUGUACAGAUAACAGUAGUACCCAAAGGAAAGGAACAAAACUCUGUGAAGGGAGAUAAUUCUUCUCAAAAAGAUGUCACUGAUAAACUACAAGAGGUUCUAAAUAAGGUAAAAGGUGCUCCGAGAAGUGGUAUUUAUGAUGAUCUUUAUGGAGAAUCCUUUAAGGGACAAGUGGGUUCCUCCUGGGCACAUUCUUUUGUCAGUUCAAGUGGAAAACCAGCUUCUUCUCUUACUAAAGAUGCUGAUGAAAAGUCAUUGAGUAUAAAAGCUGGAAAUGACUCAAGCCGUGCUGAUGCUGACGAUGACGAUGAUGAUGAUUUAUUUGGAUAGAAGACGGUUGAAUAGCUUGUGAAGAAUUUUCGUACCUCCUGUUUCCAAUUGGUUUUGAAACUAUAAUGGGAGGUUGGAAAUGCAGCAAUUCCUGAAAAUUAGAUGGUACUGCUUCCGUUGUAAAAAUGAGAUUUUUUGUUGUAACAUCAACAAUUUUUCUUUGCAAUCGCAGACAUGUUAGUGUUAAUCCUACCACAAACAUGUCUCAUUGGGAACGGAAUGGAAAAGAAUAUAGUUGUUUCAAAGGUUACAACCGAUGGUAUUGUUUUGCUGCAAUUUGGAUUUUGGACAACUCCAGACACUUGUUCUUAAUUUUUAUUGAUGAAGAUUGGAGGAUAUAUGCAUUUGUGGAUCAUUAGGCUGAAUUGCUGAAACAUAAAGGCUAAACUGUUCUCUAAAUAAAGGACCAGAAUAGGUGUUUUGCAUUUUUUAAUCAACCUGCUUUUACCAUUA